CAGUUCUCUGCAAUUAUUCAUGGAAUGUUGACUAAUCUGUUGAGGUGCAGCAUACCAGGGUCUUCCCCAACAGUUGGAGACAUCUGUUAAUGGAGUGCUACUUUCCGAGGUAGAACUUUGAACUGUCCUUUUUCCCUAUCCUUCUAAGUUAAGUUCCAUGGACAAGUGAAACAAACUCCAGACUACCACACUCUUUCCGUAUUUUUCCUUUCAAGUCUCGUUUUCUGUCUGAUGUCGCUAUUCAGUGUACUUAUCUCUAUGCUGAUCCCUCAUCUUUUAGUUGCAGGCAUUGCUACAUUGUUUCACACUUGUUAGAUUAUUCAAAUGAGGCAAUGAGUCUCCUAAUACUCACUCAACGAUUCCUCUUAUGUUUUUUUUUCUUCAUUUAGGAGAGAAGAAGACUAUUGACGAUGAUGAGACAAUUGGAAUAACAAGGACAGCACUAUGUACCUCUAUUCUCUUCUUUUGUAUCAACUCCUGGGCUUAGGAUAUUUCGUGAACUAAGGCAGAUUACUGACUAGGAGUGCAACAAGAGAAGCAUAAAAAACUUAAUGGUCUUCUAGUGACUAUUUAGUUAUGAACAUCUCAUGCAAUUUUCUUUUGGUACAUUUCUGGCAACUUUGAAGGAAUGGAAAUUACCAAAUAAGAAAGUUUUGAAUAUAUUUGAGCAGAGUGAGGCAGAGGUAGUUAUACCAGUAUGAAGAUGUUGGACAGUUGGCCCCCGAUUGGAGCGUACUAAUACUGCUGGAUCCAACUAGAGAGACGCUAAUUAACAUCUAUUCACGGAGUGCUUAAUUGCUUAUAGUCUAUUGAUAUUGUCCCCAUGAUUUUCCCUGCAUCUCUACCUUCAAGUAGGUAGUGGUUCAGGUUCUUUAUGAAUGUCAGUAUUUUAUUGGCAGGAAUUUGCAGCUAUAUAGUAUCUUGACAGUCUAUACAUUUUUCUCUAUGCUAAAAUUUCAUUUUGUGUUGCAUUAGCAGAAGACAUUGUCUAGAUUGUUUUCACCUGUCAUGGAUACUCGAACAAUGCAAUGGCAAUCUGAGAACUCAACUCAACCCGUUCUUGUAUGGAUGCCUCUUUUUUUCUCCUCACUCAGGACUCAGGAGAGCAGAAGACUGUUGACAAUGAUGAGAAAAUCAGAAUAAAGAGGACAACAGUAUGUACGUCUAUUUUCUUCUUUGGUAUCAACUCUACUUGGCUUCUGGUAAUCGUGUUUGGUACAUUCCUGGCUUUGUUAUAGAUUCAAUAAUAUCGUGGAGAUCCCAGCUUCUUCAAGUCGUCAAGUCAACUAUUCAAAUCAUUGAUCUAUUUUUUCACUUAAGAUAUAUCACGUCUUCAAGUACAUGGAGUUUGCAUGAAUUUAAUUUGUGAUCAAUUGCCUCAAGACUUUAGGGACUGGAAAUACAAUAAAGAGAAGCUUUACUAACUUACUGGCCUUCUAGCGAUAAGUACAAGACCAUUUUAUACGGUAUUCAACACUCUUUUGAGAUAGUUGAUGCUGCAUACAUUUCAUAGAACUUUGAUCUGCAUGGGAAUCACAAAGCAAAAUUUCUGAAUCAUGACGAGGAAUUUGAAGUGAACGAGGCUAAUAGCUAACUUAAUAAGAAGAUGAUGCCAUGCUGACAGUUAACCAGGGAUUGGAGCCUGCAAAAACUGUUUGAUCCAACUAGGUGAAGCACUACAUAGUGACUUCCAUAGGAUGCUUUUCAGUCUAUUGAGGUACCAUCGAGUCUUCCCCAUCUCUCUUCAUUCAGACUGAGGUUGACAUGUUUUAUGGAUGUCAGUAUCUUUUUGGCAGGAGCUAAGCUAUAUAACAAUGUCUUAACAAUUGGAGAUGACUGGUUAAACUGCUUAUGCGGUGCUAUUUUUCAGGGUAGAACUUUGGGUUGUUCCUUUUUCUCUUAUAUUUCUACACUAAAGCUUCAUGAAUGACAUACAGGAGUGUGAUGGGAUAGAUAUACAUGGCUGCAUCCAACACAUUCUCUUCCCAUAUCUUUUCCUUUCAGAACUUGCUCUCUGUCUUAUGCUGCAAUUUCAUAUAUUUUCCUCUAAUUUUAAUUUCUCAGAAAGUGUAUUUCUUGCAGAAGACCUCAUCUGGACUGUUUUACUCCUGUUACAGUUAUUCAAACAAGGCAAUGGUGCGUCCUUCGACUCAGUCAAAUCAUGUUGUAUGAUUGGCCCUCCUUUUUUUAGUUGGCUUUCAAUCAGGAGAUCAGAGAACUGUAGAAAAUGGAGAGAUACUCUCGGAGUAACGAGAGAGGACCAUCUUAAGAUUUGAUUAAGUAAUGUUGUGGAGCCUCCCAUGUUGCAUCUUCACACUCUCAACUAUUCAAAUCUUUGAUCUAUUUUCCCGUUUAGGAUAUUUUGUAAUCUCGGCAGUAUGUAGUUUUACAUGAAUCUCUAAUCAAUCGCGUUGAGGCAGACAUAACUGACUGAAAGCCUGACAAGAGAAAAACACAACAAACUCACUAGUCUUCCAUUGACUGUUUGAAGGCUAUUUGAUAACGAGAACUGCUUGCAUUUCAGACAACCUUGAUCAGAAUGGGAGUGUAAAUCAAAAUUUCUGGAUCUUGAAGAGGUAUUUAAGCAGAAUGAAGCUCUGAUGGUACUUAUCCCAGUAUGAAGCUGAUGCCCUUGAUCCAGCUAGAGAAAGAGAUACUAUUUAGCAACUAUUCAUGGUAUGUACACCACUCGAGUCUUUCCCUAUCUCUUUUCGUUCAAAAAGAGGCAUACAUAUUGGAUCGCAUGAACUUAAGCUCUAUAUAAUCUCUCUCUGUUAACAAUUUAGAGACAACUGGUUCACUGCUAACAUUACUAGUUGUCAAAGGCAUGACUUUGGAUUGGUCUUUUUCUCUUAUCCUUGAAAAACUAUCUCAUUGCUGCGCGAAAUCAACAGUUUAUCAUUCUCUUCCUGUCUUCUUUUUCUUUCAAGACUAGUUUUCUAUCUGACAUUGCUCUCAACACAUUUUUUUCUAUGCUGAUUCUCAUCUAUAAUUAUAUGUCUUUUGCAGACAUCCUAGUUUGUUUUACACCUGCAAUGGUGAUACAAGCCGUCCAACUAUCGGAUUAGGAAUGUGAAGGCUUGUUCAGAAUGAGACCGGAGAAAGAAAGAGCUAUACUAUUGAUCAGACAUCUUUUGUCUCAGUUUAAAGUGCUCAAUUCAUGAUUGAUGAAUCCCAAAGUCCAAUUCAUGUUGAAUAUUUUGAAACCUUUCAGUAAAUGUUUAAGCAUUUUCGACAAGUUGUGAUCUCAACAUUUCUAUUACAUGUUCUAUAUUGGGUUUUAUUAGCUCAUUGUUGAUGAAUUGUAACUUCAAUCCCUGCUAGAUGUUGUGAUACUUUUCUAUAAAUAUAGAGGGGCGGAACCAAGAUUUUAAUCUUAUGGGUUCUUAAUUUUUGAACUGACU
rnacentral:lncRNA from 1 species